rnacentral:rRNA from 1 species
GACGAACGCUGGCGGCGUGCCUAAUACAUGCAAGUAGAACGCUGAAGAGAGGAGCUUGCUCUUCUUGGAUGAGUUGCGAAUGGGUGAGUAACGCGUAGGUAACCUGCCUUGUAGCGGGGGAUAACUAUUGGAAACGAUAGCUAAUACCGCAUAACAAUGGAUGACACAUGUCAUUUAUUUGAAAGGGGCAAUUGCUCCACUACAAGAUGGACCUGCGUUGUAUUAGCUAGUAGGUGAGGUAAUGGCUCACCUAGGCGACGAUACAUAGCCGACCUGAGAGGGUGAUCGGCCACACUGGGACUGAGACACGGCCCAGACUCCUACGGGAGGCAGCAGUAGGGAAUCUUCGGCAAUGGGGGCAACCCUGACCGAGCAACGCCGCGUGAGUGAAGAAGGUUUUCGGAUCGUAAAGCUCUGUUGUAAGUCAAGAACGGGUGUGAGAGUGGAAAGUUCACACUGUGACGGUAGCUUACCAGAAAGGGACGGCUAACUACGUG